rnacentral:rRNA from 1 species
GACGAACCACACGACCGUUAUUCGGAAUCACUGGGCUUAAAGGGUGCGUAGGCGGCGCGGAAAGUAGGGUGUGAAAUCCCUCGGCUCAACCGAGGAAUUGCGCUCUAAACUACCGUGCUCGAGGGAGAUAGAGGUGAGCGGAACUUAGGGUGGAGCGGUGAAAUGCGUUGAUAUCCUAAGGAACACCGGUGGCGAAAGCGGCUCACUGGAUCUCUUCUGACGCUGAGGCACGAAAGCUAGGGUAGCGAACAGG